rnacentral:rRNA from 1 species
UACGGAGGGUGCGAGCGUUGUCCGGAAUCACUGGGCGUAAAGGGCGCGUAGGCGGCAGGCCAAGCGUGUGGUGAAAGCCCGGGGCUCAACCCCGGGUCGGCCAUGCGGACUGGCGUGCUUGAGCACUGUAGGGGCGGGUGGAAUUCCCGGUGUAGCGGUGAAAUGCGCAGAUAUCGGGAAGAACACCCGUGGCGAAGGCGGUUCUCUGGGACGGUACUGACGCUGAGACGCGAAAGCGUGGGGAGCGAACAGG